UAAAAAAUAAACAGCAGUAAAUAACAAACAAAUAUGAAUAUGUAGCCGGCGAGGUGACUACAACUAUUGAAGGGCGUGGCCAAGUAGGUAAUUGGUGGGUUUUUAAGCAGGCACCUAGAAGGGUACCUGGAGAUCUGGAGAUGGGGUCCGAUCUUUUGCGUGGAAGCGCGUUGCCUCGUAGUGGUGUUUGUGCACGGAUAUGGUCUGAAUGAGCAGAUGUAAACAUUGUGCUGCCUGGUACCGCUUCCGCGUUGGUUUGUGUAUGGACACUGUUUGGGUGAACAGGUGUAAACAUCGUGGAUUUAGCAGCUGCUGGUCACGCCCGUCCUCGUUUGAUCUCGGAUAUUAGUCCGUGGUUCGUGGCUGUGUUGCAGGUAAUCAGAGAGGGUAUUUAUAAUAUUUAAGUGGUUUGAUUUUAUUAUUUUUAAUGAUAUUAAAGAAAAAUGUGAUUAUGUGGAGUAUUGUUAAUUGUGUUUUUGUUUAUUUUCAUAUUAGGUUUAGUUGAUCGCUGUUCCUCCUAUGUUUGUUUUUGUUUUGUUUUUCUCGCUAGCCCGUCCUUGCAUGUGCGCGCUGUAUAAUAUCUUUUUGCGGGGGGAAGGAACUUUUGUCACAUGUAUUUUGUUGUAUUUAUUGAUUCAUUUGUAUAAAUGAUUUUUUUGUUAUAUAUGAAGUUUUCUUCUCCCUGAUUACAUUAUAGUUUUUUUUUUUUUUUUUUUUUUUUUUUUGGUCACCCUUGUUGGAAGUAAGAGUGGGCUAGUUACAAAUAUCAAACAUAAAUAUCUACAUACAGCAAACUAUAAAUUAAACAAUAUAAAUGCUCGUAAAGUGCGAUUAGCAGAAUAACAAUCAAGUAAACAGAAUAUAAGCGCAUAUAAACAACUUGAGGUACAUUAUACAGCGUCCUCGUUACGGUUUUAAAGUAUAACAAAUAUAAAAUAUAUUAUACAGAAUCAUAAACAUACUUAAACGAGGUAUGGUCAAUAUUAGCAAUUUAGGCCGCGAUGCUAGCGGCACAUUCACGUGCGUUUCACAUGAGUAACGAAUAAUCAUAAAGAUCGCAAAACACCCACGGCUUAAUGUUACAGAUCGUCUCAGUAGAAACAUCCAGUAUUACAAACAUAAAGUCAGGAAAUAAACUUACUUUGUCAAUAACUUUUGUCCUGCACUCAGAGAUGCUGCACGGGUGGAAAAUGAGUCAUAUGCUGACAGCUCCGUAUGCGCAACGGAGUAUGCGUCACUUACGCCAAAACUGUAUCCACUAGAAAUUGCGUAAUGCAUACUUUUCAUAUGUAUUAAUUAUUCUACAUAUAAUACAAACCCGUAACAGAUACAGAACACAGCAGCAGAUAAUACUAAAAAAACAUAUAAUAUAAAGAAUUCACAACAAUAAAUUUAUCCACCUUAACAGAUGCAGGAAAUACAGAAGCUGAAAAGAGAAGUGCUGUGAGUGAACUGUUUUCAAUGCCAUUUUUUUUCAAUAGCAAUUGAAAAAUUGAGAUUGAGAAGUGUCAAUUGAGAUCUGUUUUAUAAUCCUCCAGCCAAUAAACAAGGGCCCUCGCAUUCGCUGCCCAGUAAUAAUGUAAAAAGAAAGGCAGCCCUAGCCCACCUUUCUCUUUUGGUUUUUGUAAAUGUAUUUUUGUUAUUCCAAGCUUUAAAGGCCCAGAUAAAAGGCAGGAUUACAGAAUCUAAUGAUUUGAAGAAAGCUCUGGUCAAAAAAAUAGGUACGUUUUGAAAAAGAUAUAAGAAUCUAGGCAGAGAGACCAUUUUGACAUUUUGUCUAUUUUUAGAUCCUCCAAUUUCUUUAGAAAAUUCAACUUAAAAAUUAACAUAGGGUUUUUAAUAGUUUUUUUUUUUUUUAAUAUAGGGCAGAACAACUCCAAGAUACUUAAGUCUGUCUGUGAUUUUGAAAGGGAGAUUGUGUAGGAAUUCAUCAUCAAGUUCAGCACUUAAAGACAUGAAUUCACUCUUCUGCCAAUUAAUUGUAUAUCCAAAAACUGUACCAAAAGAUUUUAUAAGACCUAACAGUAAAGGAAUUGACUGCUCAGGAUUCGACAGAAAGAGAGCAACAUCAUCUGCAUACAAGGAAAUGUAAUGAUCUACAUUUCCCAGUCUUACAGGCUCGAUGGAUGGUUUCUAAUACUGAUCGUGAGGGGUUCGAUCGCAACUGCAAAAAGCAAAGGACUAAGGGGACAUCCUUGUUGUGUCCCACAAUGUAAUAAAAAUGACUUUGAUUUUUCUUGAUUUGUGAGUACGGCUAUUCUAUUAGGAACAAAAUCAGUUUGAUCCAAAUGUAUAAUAGAUGAAAUGUAUUUAUUUAACCUAUUGGCUAAUAAUUUUGUAAAAAUUUUAAUGUCAGAGUUAAGUAAUGCAUUAUUUUUUAUAUAAUUCAAUACCAAAACCGUCUGGCCCUGCCGCCUUGCCAUUAGGAAGGGAUUUUAUAGCAUCAAUGAUCUCUGGAAUAGUAAUGUCAGAGUUUAAGGCCUCACAGGCAACAUCACUCAAUUUAGGAAGAUUCAAAGGUCCUAGCCAAUUAAAGAUGUCACUUCUUGCUCUUGAUGUAUUUAAUUGUUCAUAAUAUUCUCUAAAGCGAUCAUUUAUACCUUUUAGGAUCCACAAGUAGGGGUGGGUAUUCCUGGGCCCUACGCAAAGACAG